rnacentral:rRNA from 1 species
CUACGGGGCGCAGCAGUGAGGAAUUUUGCGCAAUGGGGGAAACCCUGACGCAGCAACGCCGCGUGAGCGAAGAAGGCCCUCGGGUCGUAAAGCUCUGUCAAGUGGGAAAAAAAUUUUUUGAUCAAUAGUCAAAAGACUUGAUGGUACCACUGGAGGAAGCACCGGCUAACUCCGUGCCAGCAGCCGCGGUAAUACGGAGGGUGCAAGCGUUGUUCGUAAUUACUGGGCGUAAAGAGCGUGUAGGCGGUUUAGCAAGUCAGAUGUGAAAGCCCUGGGCUCAACCCGGGAAGUGCAUUUGAAACUGCUUCACUAGAGUAUGGGAGAGGAGAUUGGAAUUCCUGGUGUAGAGGUGAAAUUCGUAGAUAUCAGGAGGAACACCCGUGGCGAAGGCGAUUCUCUGGACCAAUACUGACGCUGAGACGCGAAAGCGUGGGGAGCAAACAGGAUUAGAUACCCUUGUAGUC